rnacentral:rRNA from 1 species
UACGGGGGGAGCAAGCGUUGUUCGGAUUUACUGGGCGUAAAGGGCGCGUAGGCGGCGUAACAAGUCACUUGUGAAAUCUCCGGGCUUAACCCGGAGCGGCCAAGUGAUACUGUUGUGCUAGAGUGCGGAAGGGGCUACUGGAAUUCCCGGUGUAGUGGUGAAAUGCGUAGAUAUCGGGAGGAACACCAGUGGCGAAGGCGACUUCCUGGCCUGUUCUUGACGCUGAGGCGCGAAAGCUAGGGGAGCAAACGGG